UCCCUGGUGGUCCAGUGGUUUAGACCCUGUGUUUCCACUGCAGAGAACAUGGGUUCGAUCCCUGGCUGGGGAA
rnacentral:tRNA from 1 species